GGUGAACGCUGGCGGCGUGCUUAACACAUGCAAGUCGAACGAGAACGGAAUAUAGCUUGCUAUAUUUGUCAGCUAAGUGGCGCACGGGUGAGUAAUGUAUAGAUAACCUGCCCUUAAGAAAGGAAUAACAGUUGGAAACGACUGCUAAUGCCCUAUGUGCCUUUAAUACAUAAGUAUGCAAGGGAAACGCUUUAGUGCUUAAGGAUGGGUCUGUAUGGUAUUAGCUUGUCGGUGAGGUAAUGGCUCACCAAGGCUAUGACGCCUAACUGGUUUGAGAGGAUGGUGAGUCGCGCGGGAGCGGGGACACGGGCCAGACUCUUACGGGAGGGAGCGGUGGGGAAUAUUGCACAGUGGACGAAAGUCUGAUGCAGCAACGCCGCGUGGAGGAUGAGACACUUCGGUGCGUAAACUCCUUUUAUAUAGGAAGAUAAUGACGGUACUAUAUGAAUAAGCACCGGCUAACUCCGUGCCAGCAGCCGCGGUAA
rnacentral:rRNA from 1 species